GGGUCAGUAGGUUGGUCGUGCCACCGGUACGUACUGGUCUCACUGAUUCCUCCUUCCUGCAGAACCGAAAUGCCAUUAAUUUGGUGUUGCGGGGAAACAGGACUGUUACUUUGAAAAAAUUAGAGUGUUUAAAGCAAGCUAACGCUUGAAUACAUUAGCAUGGAAUAAUGAAAUAGGACGAUCGAUCCUAUUUUGUUGGUUUCUAGGAUUGACGUA
rnacentral:rRNA from 1 species